ensembl:lncRNA
CUGGGCUGGAGAGGGCUUGUUUUCUGGAUGGAGAGCCUGGCCAACUGCUUGUUUAUCUCCAUGCCCAGACCAGGAGGAGGGAGUAGGAGGAGAGCCAGGGGUUUGGAACACUAACGUUCUAUGUGGAGGAGGAGGAAGGAAAGAGGAGGAGAAACUACAGAUAGCAAGAUAGGAGGAGAGGAGAGGAGAGCCAGGGGUUUGCGAUUGCAACACACACAAACUUUGUAUGUGGAAAAUGAACCGGGUCCAGGGGAUACGCGUCUGAUUGUUUGACUGAGAGAGCAUCUGGCUGAGUGCUGGGUCAGGCGUGUUGGGGUGAUGUGGAGGGCAUCUGGCUGAGUGCAGGGUCAGGCGUGUUGGGGUGAUGUGGAGGGCAUCUGGCUGAGUGCAGGGUCAGGUGUGUUGGGGUGAUGUGGAGGGCAUCUGGCUGAGUGCUGGGUCAGGUGUGUUGGGGUGAUGUGGAGGGCAUCUGGCUGAGUGCAGGGUCAGGCGUAUUGGGGUGAUUUGGAGGGCAUCUGGCUGAGUGCAGGGUCAGGUGUGUUGGGGUGAUGUGGAGGGCAUCUGGCCGAGUGCUGGGUCAGGUGUGUUGGGGUGAUGUGGAGGGCAUCUGGCUGAGUGCAGGGUCAGGCGUAUUGGGGUGAUGUGGAGGGCAUCUGGCUGAGUGCAGGGUCAGGUGUGUUGGGGUGAUGUGGAGGGCAUCUGGCUGAGUGCAGGGUCAGUCGUGUUGGGGUGAUGUGGAGGGCAUCUGGCUGAGUGCAGGGUCAGUCAUGUUGGGGUGAUGUGGAGGGCAUCUGAAGGUGUAACAGUCCGGCUGAAGCCUGACCUGCCUGGCUGUUGGUGUUUAUUACACAGAUGAAAGAGCUUCCACGCCGAGCUCCACAGGAUUUAGCCUGCUCCAGAUCUGUUUGGGCUGCAGGGCCUAUAGCCAUUAGCCAAUGACCACAUGAGUUGGCAAGACAGCACAAAACAGAUCUGGGACCAGGCUAGUAGGAUGUUAUCUUGGAAUCAUGUACAGCACCACCUUUUGGCUCCAUGUUUCCUUUCCUUGUUGAAGGAAGGAACCUGUCUGACUUGCUGCUCUGUGUGCUGUUGUCUCGUUCUCCACUGUGGUCUUAUGUUGUUAAACUUAGCCCUUGUGGUCACUAGUCAAACCUGAAGUAGGACACCUUGUGACUUGGAGAGCAGGGAGGAACUGGUUUGCUACCACUAAGUCUCUCUCUCUCUCUCUCUCUGUCUCUGUCUCUGUCUGAAUUUAACACGGGAGAGGCCAG